rnacentral:rRNA from 1 species
UGGGGAAUCUUAGACAAUGGGCGCAAGCCUGAUCUAGCCAUGCCGCGUGGGUGAUGAAGGCCUUAGGGUCGUAAAGCCCUUUCGCCGGGGAAGAUAAUGACGGUACCCGGUAAAGAAACCCCGGCUAACUCCGUGCCAGCAGCCGCGGUAAUACGGAGGGGGUUAGCGUUGUUCGGAAUGACUGGGCGUAAAGCGCGCGUAGGCGGAUCGUCAAGUCGGGGGUGAAAUCCCGGGGCUCAACCCCGGAAUGGCCUUCGAGACUGUCGGUCUUGAGUUCGAGAGAGGUGAGUGGAAUUCCGAGUGUAGAGGUGAAAUUCGUAGAUAUUCGGAGGAACACCAGUGGCGAAGGCGGCUCACUGGCUCGACACUGACGCUGAGGUGCGAAAGCGUGGGGGAGCAAACAGGAUUAGAUACCCUGGUAGUCCACGCCGUAAACGAUGAAUGCCAGACGUCGGGGGGCUUGCCCUUCGGUGUCACACCUAACGGAUUAAGCAUUCCGCCUGGGGGAGUACGGUCGCAAGAUUAAAACUUAAAUGAAUUGACGGGGUCAUAGCUGUUUCCUG